CACAGCAAAUUCAUAGCAUUGGCAACAAAUUCGAUGAUGAUGUGGUUUUACAUGGCGACUUAGAUAACAUCUGUUGUCCAGAUAAAGAGGGUAGUUGUGUCUCUGAAUCUGAGGAAACACCACUAGCACGUAGUUCUACGUCCACAUCAGCACCAGCAAAGACGAAGAGAAGACUUCCUGGUAAACAAGAACAGGGAUCGUUUUAAUGCUAGGAGUGCUGCCGGUACCAAUUAUUUGCGUCGUUAACAGCAACCUCAGCUCCUGCUUAUGAAUCAAAAAUCUUCACAGACCACUUCAAAGCCAGAUACCCAAGUUAUUGUACCGAAAAAUUCUCCUCUGACUUGCAUUUAUAAUCACUGUCUUGGUUCUGUCUUACCUUUAUACAUG